rnacentral:pre_miRNA from 1 species
AGGAGGAACAACCGCAGUGGCGGGGCCAGCUCUGGAGCCCUGGAUUCAGCUCCCGCAGGAACUCCGGAGCUCUCUGUCUGCAGGGCCUGGAGGCUCCGGGGCGGG